rnacentral:rRNA from 1 species
GAUGAACGCUGGCGGCGUGCUUAACACAUGCAAGUCGAACGAAGCUGCUUAACUGAUCUUCUUCGGAAUUGACGUUUUGUAGACUGAGUGGCGGACGGGUGAGUAACGCGUGGGUAACCUACCCUGUACAGGGGGAUAACAGUCAGAAAUGACUGCUAAUACCGCAUAAGACCACAGCACCGCAUGGUGCAGGGGUAAAAACUCCGGUGGUACAGGAUGGACCCGCGUCUGAUUAGCUGGUUGGUGAGGUAACGGCUCACCAAGGCGACGAUCAGUAGCCGGCUUGAGAGAGUGAACGGCCACAUUGGGACUGAGACACGGCCCAAACUCCUACGGGAGGCAGCAGUGGGGAAUAUUGCACAAUGGGGGAAACCCUGAUGCAGCGACGCCGCGUGAGUGAAGAAGUAUCUCGGUAUGUAAAGCUCUAUCAGCAGGGAAGAAAAUGACGGUACCUGACUAAGAAGCCCCGGCUAACUACGUGCCAGCAGCCGCGGUAAUACGUAGGGGGCAAGCGUUAUCCGGAAUUACUGGGUGUAAAGGGUGCGUAGGUGGUAUGGCAAGUCAGAAGUGAAAACCCAGGGCUUAACUCUGGGACUGCUUUUGAAACUGUCAGACUAGAGUGCAGGAGAGGUAAGCGGAAUUCCUAGUGUAGCGGUGAAAUGCGUAGAUAUUAGGAGGAACAUCAGUGGCGAAGGCGGCUUACUGGACUGAAACUGACACUGAGGCACGAAAGCGUGGGGAGCAAACAA